GCUUUCCUGCAGUCGACGGUAACAGGGAGCUUGCUCCGCUGACGAGUGGCGAACGGGUGAGUAAUAUAUCGGAACGUACCCAGAAGUGGGGGAUAACGUAGCGAAAGUUACGCUAAUACCGCAUACGAUCCACGGAUGAAAGUAGGGGACCUUCGGGCCUUAUGCUUUUGGAGCGGCCGAUAUCUGAUUAGCUAGUUGGUGAGGUAAAGGCUCACCAAGGCAACGAUCAGUAGCUGGUCUGAGAGGACGACCAGCCACACUGGAACUGAGACACGGUCCAGACUCCUACGGGAGGCAGCAGUGGGGAAUUUUGGACAAUGGGCGCAAGCCUGAUCCAGCAAUGCCGCGUGAGUGAAGAAGGCCUUCGGGUUGUAAAGCUCUUUUGUCAGGGAAGAAACGGCUGUGGCUAAUAUCCACGGCUAAUGACGGUACCUGAAGAAUAAGCACCGGCUAACUACGUGCCAGCAGCCGCGGUAAUACGUAGGGUGCAAGCGUUAAUCGGAAUUACUGGGCGUAAAGCGUGCGCAGGCGGUCUUGUAAGUCUGACGUGAAAUCCCCGGGCUCAACCUGGGAAUUGCGUUGGAGACUGCAAGGCUAGAAUCUGGCAGAGGGGGGUAGAAUUCCACGUGUAGCAGUGAAAUGCGUAGAGAUGUGGAGGAACACCGAUGGCGAAGGCAGCCUCCUGGGUCAAGAUUGACGCUCAUGCACGAAAGCGUGGGGAGCAAACAGGAUUAGAUACCCUGGUAGUCCACGCCCUAAACGAUGUCUACUAGUUGUCGGGUUUUAAUUAACUUGGUAACGCAGCUAACGCGUGAAGUAGACCGCCUGGGGAGUACGGUCGCAAGAUUAA
rnacentral:rRNA from 1 species